rnacentral:tRNA from 1 species
GUUUUUGUAGUUGAAGUACAACGAUGGUUUUUCAUAUCAUUAGUCAUGGUUGAAGUCCAUGCAAGAACGA